rnacentral:rRNA from 1 species
UACAGAGGUCUCAAGCGUUGUUCGGAUUCAUUGGCGUAAGGGUGCGUAGGCGGCGCGGUAAGUCGGGUGUGAAUCUCGGAAGCUUAACUCCGAACUGCAUUCGAUACUGCCGUGCUUGAGGACUGGAGAGGAGACUGGAAUUUACGGUGUAGCGGUGAAAUGCGUAGAUAAUCGUAAGGAAGACCAGUGGCGAAGGCGGGUCUCUGGACAGUUCCUGACGCUGAGGCACGAAGGCCAGGGGAGGCAAACGGG